GCUGGGCGUGGUGGCACACUCCUGUAAUCCCAGCUACUCGGGAGGCUGAGGUAGGAGAAUUGCUUGAACCCAGGAGGCAGAGGUUGCAGUGAGCCAAGAUCGCGCCACUGCAGUCCAGCCUGGGUGACAGAGCAAGAUUCUGUCUUUU
rnacentral:SRP_RNA from 2 species